UUUCAAGGAACCCAUAAGAUUUGAGGCCCCUAACUAUUGAAAAACAAUGAUAAACUGGCGGCACGCUAGUUCACCCCACGGUCCCCUACAAUUUAUUUCACCUCGAUUUUUUUCAGAACCCCUUUUUCCCCUAUGAUUUUACCAUCAGGUUGUGGUGAAUUUUUGAUCAGCUGGCAUGACAGCUGACUUAUGUUUAUAUUUACAUUCGGUUUCGCUGGCAAUGUUUACACCCGAUGUUUUUCAUCACUUUUCAUAAAAUCGCCAGCAUCAUCGUUCGAUCUGAUCCUCUUCCAUUGCGGAAUGCUGACUACCGUGACCACAAGAUUCAAUUUCAGCCCCUACCCUACCGGAAGGUGGGUGGUAUGUAAACAGCCAGUUGUAAAAAGCCGACCGAUUUUUAAUAUAAAAGAUGAAUUCUCGUGAAUGUUUAUCAGAAAUGAAUAAUACCAAAACCAGGUUCGAAAAAUACAUUUCAAGGCAUUUGCUGGUACAGAGUUGCCGCUCCUGCAAUAGCAUCCGAUGAUGUUUGAUCUCUCAGUCGCAUGGAAGCAGGUCCUGAUCCGGGGCCAUCCAGAUCUGCAAACCACUCGAACAUGAACAAAAUAGCUACCGAUCUCAAGGCAAGAGGUGAUGGAAAUCAGUGGAUGCUGACGGAAAGCCGUUAUUUAUGAGAUGAUUACUUUCAAACUGGAAGAAGUUCCGAAUGCCUUCCGGAUUGGAGAACCUGAUGGCUAUGGUGGGGGAGAUGGUUCCUCGAAUGAAGGUAACAGUAAGGAAGUAUUGGACCCAUGCGGACAGCCGAAGCGGAAAUGAUUAUGGGAGAAAAGGGAACGCACAUAUUGAUAGCGGCGAGGAUGACGACGACGGUGAUUUCGAUGAGAAUACUCCGACCAAUACAGGGCUGGUAGCAGGUCUCUUUUUAGAGACUUGGUCUCUGUGUUAAUGCAAGCAGGGGCGACUAGUAACCUCACUUUCUACCUGUUCUACGUUACUAAAAAUUGAUAUUUUGACAAAUUUACUAUCUUAUUCAAAAAAUAAAUGGCUGAAAUCGACAAUUUAAACCAUUCUCUACUAAGUAGAUACGCAUUCGUUGUGAAAAUUCAAACAUUUCUAUACGUGGAACAGGUAGAUUUGAGGUUAGGGAAUCGCCACUGAAUGCAAGUCUCUAUUUUUUUAAGGGAAGAUCUUCAAAGUUUCGAAUUUAACCAAAAACUACUUACAGUGAAUCCUGCUGCCACCUUGUAGACGUUUUA